GUUCCAGAAACUUCCGGACAUAGGGGGCGUUAGCGGAAGUGACGUUCCGGAGCGCGACGCAAUUUCUGUUGGUACGUGCCCGGCCAAAGCUGCUGCAAUCGCUGCUGCUUGGAGAGACGGGAGCGCGUCCGCCGUGCAGGCCUGGGCAGGGAUUUGCUGUUAAGACAACUGUUAAAACAUGGUGGAUUAUUAUGAGGUUCUAGGAGUGCAAAGGCAUGCCUCACCAGAAGACAUUAAAAAGGCGUACCGCAAACUAGCGCUGAAGUGGCACCCCGAUAAAAAUCCAGAUAAUAAAGAAGAAGCUGAGAGACGAUUCAAACAAGUAGCUGAAGCAUAUGAGGUUUUGUCUGAUGCUAAAAAACGUGACAUCUAUGACAAAUAUGGAAAAGAAGGCUUAAAUGGAGGAGGUGGAGGUGGAAGUCAUUUUGACAGCCCAUUUGAAUAUGGAUUUACAUUCCGUAACCCAGAUGAUGUCUUUAGGGAGUUUUUUGGUGGAAGGGACCCCUUUUCAUUUGACUUCUUUGAAGAUCCUUUUGAUGACUUAUUUGGAAACCGACGAGGUCAACGAGGGAACAGAAACAGAGGUGGUGGGCCAUUUUUCUCUGCAUUUAGUGGAUUUCCUGCGUUUGGGAGUGGUUUUUCUUCAUUUGAUACAGGUUUUACUUCAUUUGGUUCAUUGGGGCACGGGGGCCUUACUUCAUUCUCCUCUACGUCAUUCGGUGGCAGUGGGAUGGGUAGCUUCAAAUCGGUAUCAACUUCUACUAAAAUAGUUAAUGGCAGAAAAAUUACUACGAAGAGAAUUGUUGAGAAUGGACAAGAGAGAGUGGAAGUUGAAGAAGAUGGCCAGUUAAAGUCAUUAACAGUAAAUGGUGUGGCAGAUGAGGAAGCUCUUGCUGAGGAGUGCAGCCGUAGAGGACAACAGGCCUUACCUUUCCAGUCUACCAAUAUCCGCCUCCCGAAGUCCCACAAGCCUGCCACUUUCCCCAAACAUGCCUAUCAUAACGAUGAGGUGGAAGAACAAGAUAGAGCUCGGGUUACAAGCAGCUUGGAGACCCCUUUAUAUACAUCAGAUGGAAGGACUUGGGGUGGGGGGGAAUCCUGACCAAUUAAAGUAAGUUUUGCCAGUGACUUCAGUGGGUCAGGACUUCACUGUCAUUCUGACACAAAGAAGGCAGCAAGAGGAGGAAGCAGAAGCAGAGAGAGGAACAGAAGAAGAAGAAGCCAACCAAAGGAAAUCACUAAAACGGACUCCUCCGAUACUCAGUACCUUUACAAUGACACCAUAUGUUAUCGUUACAUUUGAGCACACUUUUUUGUGUAUAUAUUUUUUGGAUUGUAUACACUGUUAGUAAGGAAGAUGAUUCGUAUUUAAAACUACACUAAAAUUGCACUAUAUUACCCUUUAGCAGCACAGAGUGGCUUUUUUGCCAGUCAGAUUGAGGACUUCAAAGUAGGCUGAUCUUGGUUAGAGGUGCAUUGUAUUUGAAAUUUUGGAAAAUCUUGCAGAAUCACUUACUACUUCCUUCCCGGCAACUAGAUCUACUGUAGUCUAGUGUUUUCCUCUAGGAUAUAAGGGGUUGUAACAAUGUCUCUUUAUGUCUACUCCUCCUGGUAUCCUCAGGCCUGUUAAAAUAUCUGAGUUAAACCUUGAUCCUAUUCCUAUUGAUUUCAAUAGGCGCUUUCCCAUUGACUUCAGUGGGAGUAGGACUAAGCCUUUAGAAACUAGCUUUAAGAAACAAUCUAGUAAUAAUGCAAACUUCAUAAUUGCAUUUUACAUUAACUUUUUUCCAUCUUAGGCAGAACAAUUAUUUUUGUUAUGAUUAAAUAUGCUGUCACAUUUAUGUUGCAUUGUGAAGUUACAUCUGGUGAUUUAAGAAAGCCAGUGUGAUUUCUGGUCUCCUGUAAAUAUUCAUACUGAUUCAUUAUGCAUGGUAGACUCCCGGUGAGUCACUGAGUGAAAUCAUUCCUUGUGUUUUUCAUCAUUUUCAAUUUCUACCAAGUCUCUCCAGACAAAUUAUCUAAAUGCUACUUUAAAUUUACACUUGAUUUCUGCUGAGUGGAUUUCAGAUCCUGAACAUGUUUUCAGGUUCCAUAUGAUUCUACCAAGUAAUUCUUUGCAGAAAUAAAUAUCUAGAAUGUCAGUCACACAUGAGGAAAGUAUAUUUACAUCAGUUAUAUUGCAGUACUAAACUUUUUAGUUUGGAAACAUUUUCUUCACUUUUAAAAAAUAUUUUGAGUCUGGCAAGAUUACUUCCUUGCUUCCCAUAAUUGUUUCAUGUGCAUGACACACUGCUUCUCCUAAUCUUUUAAUUGAGCACUAAGUAGAAUCUUUCUAUUGUCUUAACUACUUCCCUGCAUGUUCCUUGCCAAUAGGUUGCCUUUUCUCUUUAACCUAUGAAUAGUGAUUAUCAGCCAUGUUUAUUUUGUUCUUUUGUUUCUGCUUUUUGCUAGUAUGUUGGUGAUGUAACUGACUUAAAACUGGCACUGUUGGAAACCCAAAUUUCCUGGAGAAAUUCACUCAUCCUUGGUAUUUACAAAAUGUAGCAAUGCACACAAUGAUGUAAGGAAGAUGCUAAACAGAAAAGUAAAAUUUGCUGUUCUAGAAUGACUGUUAAAAUAUAAGAAAUCUUGGUAAUCUACAAUAUUUGGAUGGUUUAGCAUAUAAUGCUUGCAUUAGGAAUAUGUAACCGUAUGCAGAUUGUUAGGGUACUUAAAUUAGGUUUAUCUGAAAUUUAAGAUUGAGAACAGUUUUUGUUUGUCACUUGUAAGUACCACUUAAUUGUUUUGUGCAGUGUUACUAAUAUUUAAAAAUAAAGACAAUUCUCUUUA